UACAGAGGGUGCAAGCGUUGCUCGGAAUCAUUGGGCGUAAAGGGCAAGUAGGUGGUCUCAUUUGUCUAGGGUGAAAUCCUUGAGCUUAACUCAAGAAGUGCCCUAGAAACGGUGAGACUCGAGUACUGGAGAGGGUCGUGGAAUUCCCGGUGUAGCGGUGAAAUGCGUAGAGAUCGGGAGGAACACCAGAGGCGAAGGCGGCGACCUGGACAGUUACUGACACUCAACUGCGAAAGCGUGGGGAGCAAACAGG
rnacentral:rRNA from 1 species